GAUGAAGAACGCAGCAAAAUGCGAUAAGUAAUGUGAAUUGCAGAAUUCAGUGAAUCAUCGAAUCUUUGAACGCACAUUGCGCCCGCUGGUAUUCCGGCGGGCAUGCCUGUUCGAGCGUCAUUUCAACCCUCAAGCCCCCGGGUUUGGUGUUGGGGAUCGGCUCUGCCCUUCUGGGCGGUGCCGCCCCCGAAAUACAUUGGCGGUCUCGCUGCAGCCUCCAUUGCGUAGUAGCUAACACCUCGCAACUGGAACGCGGCGCGGCCAUGCCGUAAAACCCCAACUUCUGAAUGCUGACCUCGGAUCAGGUAGGAAUACCCGCUGAACUUAAGCAUAUCAAUAAGCGGAGGA
rnacentral:misc_RNA from 1 species